rnacentral:rRNA from 1 species
ACCUGCUCAAUGUAAAAUAAAUAGCCGCAAGAAUAUGUGCUAAGGUAGCAUAAUCAUUAGCUUUAUAAUUAAAAGAUAGUAUGAAAGGUUAAACGAAAUAUUAUAUAUUUAAAACUUAAUUAAAAAUAAAAUUAAAAUAAAAGUAAAAAUACUUUUAUAUAUAAGAAAGACGAUAAGACCCUAAUAAACUUAAAAUUAUUUAACUAGGGUGGUUAAUAAACAAUAUCUUAAUUUAAAUAAAAAACCAAAAUUAAUUACAUUUAAUAUAGAAAAAGUUACUAUAGGGAUAACAGCGCAAUAUUUUUCCAAAGCUCUCAUAAUAAAAAAUGUUUACGACCUCGAUGUUGAAUUAAUAAUCUAAUUUUAAAAGAAAAAUUUUCUAAAAGAAGGUCUGUUCGACCUGUAAAAAAUU